rnacentral:rRNA from 1 species
GAUGAACGCUGGCGGCGUGCCUAAUACAUGCAAGUCGAGCGAACAGACGAGGAGCUUGCUCCUCUGACGUUAGCGGCGGACGGGUGAGUAACACGUGGAUAACCUACCUAUAAGACUGGGAUAACUUCGGGAAACCGGAGCUAAUACCGGAUAAUAUAUUGAACCGCAUGGUUCAAUAGUGAAAGACGGUUUUGCUGUCACUUAUAGAUUGAUCCGCGCCGCAUUAGCUAGUUGGUAAGGUAACGGCUUACCAAGGCAACGAUGCGUAGCCGACCUGAGAGGGUGAUCGGCCACACUGGAACGGAGACACGGUCCAGACUCCUACGAGAGGCAGCAGUAGGGAAUCUUCCGCGAUGGGCGAGAGCGUGACGGAGCAACGCCGCGUGAGUGAUGAAGGUCUUCUGAUCGUAAAACUCUGUUAUUAGGGAAGAACAAAUGUGUAAGUAACUAUGCACGUCUUGACGGUACCUAAUCAGAAAGCCACGGCUAACUACGUG